GCUUUGUGGUAGGUGAAGCCAUGUCUAUCUUCACCUAUUUGAAUAUCUUCUAUUCAAAGAGCUAGUGGAGAACUCAUUAACCAUCAGCUGAGCGCCACAAUGGCCACUGUACAAGCCGGGGUUCGAAACCGAAAUCUCUGGGACAGUACACUAAAUCAAACUCUACUUUUACAUUGGCAAUUCCAUGUAACAAAGACAGCUUCUAUUGUAUAAUACAUGAAGAAAAACUCAUCACAGAUACAAGGCUUAUAUAAAAACAACAUUGAGUAUUAUUGCCAAUGAGACAACUCUUCAUCAAAGACCAAAUGACGUAGAAAUUAAAAACUAUUAAAUACCUUUUACAAUGAGCAAAUCCUGUACCGCAAAG
rnacentral:lncRNA from 1 species